rnacentral:rRNA from 1 species
UGGGGAAUUUUGGACAAUGGGCGAAAGCCUGAUCCAGCAAUGCCGCGUGUGUGAAGAAGGCCUUCGGGUUGUAAAGCACUUUUGUCCGGAAAGAAAUCCUUGGCUCUAAUACAGUCGGGGGAUGACGGUACCGGAAGAAUAAGCACCGGCUAACUACGUGCCAGCAGCCGCGGUAAUACGUAGGGUGCAAGCGUUAAUCGGAAUUACUGGGCGUAAAGCGUGCGCAGGCGGUUUGCUAAGACCGAUGUGAAAUCCCCGGGCUCAACCUGGGAACUGCAUUGGUGACUGGCAGGCUAGAGUAUGGCAGAGGGGGGUUAGAAUUCCACGUGUAGCAGUGAAAUGCGUAGAGAUGUGGAGGAAUACCGAUGGCGAAGGCAGCCCCCUGGGCCAAUACUGACGCUCAUGCACGAAAGCGUGGGGAGCAAACAGGAUUNGAUACCCUGGUAGUCCACGCCCUAAACGAUGUCAACUAGUUGUUGGGGAUUCAUUCCUUAGUAACGUAGCUAACGCGUGAAGUUGACCGCCUGGGGAGUACGGUCGCAA